rnacentral:rRNA from 1 species
UACGUAGGUGGCAAGCGUUAUCCGGAUUUAUUGGUCGUAAAGAGAACGCAGGCGGUCUUUUAAGUCUGAUGUGAAAGCCUUCGGCUUAACCGGAGUAGUGCAUUGGAAACUGGGAGACUUGAGUGCAGAAGAGGAGAGUGGAACUCCAUGUGUAGCGGUGAAAUGCGUAGAUAUAUGGAAGAACACCAGUGGCGAAAGCGGCUCUCUGGUCUGUAACUGACGCUGAGGUUCGAAAGCGUGGGUAGCAAACAGG